rnacentral:tRNA from 1 species
GCGCUCGUAGCUCAACUGGAUAGAGUACUCUGCUACGAACCGAGCGGUUCCAGGUUCGCCUCCUGUCGAGCGCACCA